rnacentral:rRNA from 1 species
AGAGUUUGAUCAUGGCUCAGGAUGAACGCUGGCGGCGUGCCUAACACAUGCAAGUCGAGCGAUUCUCUUCGGAGAAGAGCGGCGGACGGGUGAGUAACGCGUGGGUAACCUGCCCUGUACACAUGGAUAACAUACCGAAAGGUAUGCUAAUACGAGAUAAUAUGCUUUUAUCGCAUGGUAGAAGUAUCAAAGCUUUUGCGGUACAGGAUGGACCCGCGUCUGAUUAGCUAGUUGGUAAGGUAACUGCUUACCAAGGCGACGAUCAGUAGCCGACCCGAGAGGGUGAUCGGCCACAUUGGAACUGAGACACGGUCCAAACUCCUACGGGAGGCAGCAGUGGGGAAUAUUGCACAAUGGGCGAAAGCCUGAUGCAGCAACGCCGCGUGAGCGAUGAAGGCCUUCGGGUCGUAAAGCUCUGUCCUCAAGGAAGAUAAUGACGGUACUUGAGGAGGAAGCCCCGGCUAACUACGUGCCAGCAGCCGCGGUAAUACGUAGGGGGCUAGCGUUAUCCGGAAUUACUGGGCGUAAAGGGUGCGUAGGUGGUUUCUUAAGUCAGAGGUGAAAGGCUACGGCUCAACCGUAGUAAGCCUUUGAAACUGGGAAACUUGAGUGCAGGAGAGGAGAGUGGAAUUCCUAGUGUAGCGGUGAAAUGCGUAGACAUUAGGAGGAACACCAGUUGCGAAGGCGGCUCUCUGGACUGUAACUGACACUGAGGCACGAAAGCGUGGGGAGCAAACAGGAUUAGAUACCCUGUAGUCCACGCCGUAAACGAUGAGUACUAGCUGUCGGAGGUUACCCCCUUCGGUGGCGCAGCUAACGCAUUAAGUACUCCGCCUGGGGAGUACGCUCGCAGAGUGAAACUCAAAGGAAUUGACGG